UACGUAGGGGGCAAGCGUUAUCCGGAAUUACUGGGUGUAAAGGGAGCGUAGACGGUGAUGUAAGUCUGGAGUGAAAGGCGGGGGCCCAACCCCCGGACUGCUCUGGGAACUAUAUGACUGGAGUGCAGGAGAGGUGAGCGGAAUUCCUAGUGUAGCGGUGAAAUGCGUAGAUAUUAGGAGGAACACCAGUGGCGAAGGCGGCUCACUGGACUGUAACUGACGUUGAGGCUCGAAAGCGUGGGGAGCAAACAGG
rnacentral:rRNA from 1 species